AUAUGAUUAAAAAGGAGAGACAUAAAUACAUUAUACGACUACCUUUCUGCCUUU
rnacentral:sRNA from 1 species